rnacentral:tRNA from 1 species
GGGGUUGUGGCUCAGUGGUAGAGUACUUGCUUAACAUGCAUGAGACACUGGGUUGGAUCCCCAACACCA